rnacentral:snRNA from 1 species
GUGCUUGCUUCAGCAACACAUAUACCAAAAUUGGAAUGAUACGGAGAAGUUUAGCAUGG